AGAGUUUGAUCCUGGCUCAGAUUGAACGCUGGCGGCAUGCCUUACACAUGCAAGUCGAACGGCAGCACGGGAGCAAUCCUGGUGGCGAGUGGCGAACGGGUGAGUAAUAUAUCGGAACGUGCCCAGUCGUGGGGGAUAACGCAGCGAAAGCUGUGCUAAUACCGCAUACGAUCUCUGGAUGAAAGCGGGGGACUCGCAAGGGCCUCGCGCGAUUGGAGCGGCCGAUAUCAGAUUAGCUAGUUGGUGGGGUAAAAGCCCACCAAGGCGACGAUCUGUAGCUGGUCUGAGAGGACGACCAGCCACACUGGAACUGAGACACGGUCCAGACUCCUACGGGAGGCAGCAGUGGGGAAUUUUGGACAAUGGGCGAAAGCCUGAUCCAGCAAUGCCGCGUGCAGGAUGAAGGCCUUCGGGUUGUAAACUGCUUUUGUACGGAACGAAACGGUCCCUUCUAAUAAAGGGGGCUAAUGACGGUACCGUAAGAAUAAGCACCGGCUAACUACGUGCCAGCAGCCGCGGUAAUACGUAGGGUGCGAGCGUUAAUCGGAAUUACUGGGCGUAAAGCGUGCGCAGGCGGUUAUAUAAGACAGAUGUGAAAUCCCCGGGCUCAACCUGGGGCCUGCAUUUGUGACUGUAUAGCUAGAGUACGGUAGAGGGGGAUGGAAUUCCGCGUGUAGCAGUGAAAUGCGUAGAUAUGCGGAGGAACACCGAUGGCGAAGCAAUCCCCUGGACCUGUACUGACGCUCAUGCACGAAAGCGUGGGGAGCAAACAGGAUUAGAUACCCUGGUAGUC
rnacentral:rRNA from 1 species